UUAUGACAUUAACAGAGAACAGGACUAUGUCAAGAAUUCUGGGGGUAUACUUGGUGAAAAUGAAUUAAGACCACCCUCCCAGCUACAUUCUCUCUUAGAGAAGACCAAGCCAGGGUUCAUAUCAGAAAAGAUUUUUGAUACAGUGUCCUUGAGUUCAGACUCUCUCUUCCAGAGGGCAGUUUCAAUUCUUCAUACUUCUUACUUGGACUCUGCAUCUGGGCAUGGUUUUCAGUACAGUCAAGUGACUUUGGUGAAAAAUGACAUUUUCUUAAAUGAGUACAAAACUUUUUACCAAGAAAAAAAAUCAAGUAAUUAUACUCAGGAAGAACUUCAAGAGACUUAUGGGUUUCUUCUGUUUGAAACUGAAAAUCAGGCAAAGUUAGUAUGUCAGCGCGGGCUCUGUGUGGGCAGCAGUGCUAUAACCACUCUCGGUGACCCAGCAAAAGGUGUGUAUAUUUCCAAAUACUCCGACUAUCUUCAUGCAAGACCAUGGUAUCAUGGGAAGUGUGGUUAUGUUGUAAUUUUUAACCUAAUUAA